GAUGCUAAUUUAUUUGUUGUCAUUUUUAUCACCAUUGAUUGGAAUCUCUUGUGGAUCACGUAUUGCAUAAGUCUAGUCUUGUCCACAAAUAUGCGUCCAUAACACAAAAAUCAGCAGAUAAUACUCACCUUUUGCAAGUAGCUGUGGAGAAUAGAAAUAUUUAAUAAUGAUCUUAGUUUAGAAAAGAAUAAUGGAGAGAUAUGUCGAAAGAAAGUGAAAUUUUGAGAGGAUGUGAUAGAAACAAUAGUUGUGGAAGGCAAGAAAAGAAAACACUACUUGCAUGUGAUUUGUAAUCUCUUUGUUAUUGAGGUAGCCAUUACCGUUAUUUAAUGGUAAAUGAGGACUAUUACUGUUAAGUAAUGGUGGUAAUAGCCAUUACACAUGCAACCUAAAAUUUGCCUAUAAAUAAUGGGUCACGGGUAAUGAGAUCUUUAAAACCUAUAAAUAACGGCCAUUAUCUUACAUUACAUAACAGCUGUUAUUUGAAACCACGGUUUAAACUUAAGUCUUAACA
rnacentral:misc_RNA from 1 species